rnacentral:rRNA from 1 species
CGGAGGGAGCUAGCGUUGUUCGGAAUUACUGGGCGUAAAGCGCGCGUAGGCGGCUUUGUAAGUUAGAGGUGAAAGCCCGGGGCUCAACCCCGGAACUGCCUUUAAGACUGCAUCGCUUGAAUCCGGGAGAGGUGAGUGGAAUUCCGAGUGUAGAGGUGAAAUUCGUAGAUAUUCGGAAGAACACCAGUGGCGAAGGCGGCUCACUGGACCGGUAUUGACGCUGAUGUGCGAAAGCGUAGGGGAGCAAACAGGAUUAGAUACCCUGGUAGUCCAUGCCGUAAACGAUGAUAACUAGCUGUCGGGGGCCAUGGGCUUUCGGUGGCGCAGCUAACGCAUUAAGUUAUCCGCCUGGGGAGUACGGCCGCAAGGUUA